AAUUAACAUAAACUCAUUAUCAGCAGGAUCUUAACUUGAUUUUUUUUUUGCCUUCCAACUUUUAAAGAUGUGUUCAUCUUUAAAAUCCCCACAUAACAGAGAACUGAUUUUUCCCACCCCUUGUAUGCAACAUCAUCAAGACAGACUGUUUCUGGCCAUCUGAGUAUAAUAAUGAGGCAGCUGCACAGCUCACUUUGUUUGUACCUAUUUGGGCUCAGACCUGUUGCAGUGUCCUCUGGAUGAACCUUUCUCAUCUCAGACCCUGCAAUUUGAUGUAUGCUCCAAGCAUUGGUUAAAGACCAAGUUUCAGCAGUUCAUUUACUCUGUGUGAAAUUUAGUGGAUUUAAAUCAUCACCUUUUUGGUGAGACAUGCCAGUUUGAAGCUCGGAGAUCUUGUGGCUUUGUUUUUAAAUAAUGUCUGGGGUUGGGCUUCAGCCUUUGGCUUUCAGACCUGUCAGUGUGUUGCAUAGACUUGCCAAGUAAAUCAGUACAAUUUAUGCUAUCAUAAACCAUUACAUGUGGGAUUUUUGUGAGAAUUGAGUAGGAGAAUUGCAUGCCUGUGUGUGUAUAUGUAUGAGCAAAAAUUGGACAAAGUGUAUUGAAUUGUUUGAAUUAGUACUGACCUAUUUAAAUGGCUUUCAUGUAUGCCUCUGUAGCUUCUUAUUUUAGUGUAAUUGUCAGAAGGGGACUUUGUCCUACUCCAGAUCUCGUGCUAAUGUUUGAGUGCAUCCUGUGCAAUAACCUUCAACUGUAAUUAAAGUUCAUGUAACAAUUCAUUUUGUAGUGAAACUAAUCCCCACCAAACCGUCUUUAAAUCUAAUACGAGGUUGCUUUUGCUUUUAAAACUGAAGGUUGGUUUUAUCUAUAUGAAAUCUGCUCUAGGUACUCAGUCCUGUUUUUCUGUUUUUCUUUCACUGUUCGUCAGAAUUGCCCCAGAUUAGGAUUGCUGUUGGCCAGCAUGAGAACCUGGAACCUCUGCAUGAGAAGUGCGUUGAGCUCAGGGAACAUCCCAUAUUGAGUGUACCCAGAACUUCAAUAUCUGGAGCCCUUUGUUUGAAGAUCUCAAAGCCCUUGUUGAAGGGGAGCAGCAGCAUCCUCUCAUUUGCCAGAGGAAAAUCAGCAUGUGACUCCCACAAGGUCAUGUCAGAAAGCCCCCACGCAAAUAAGC
rnacentral:lncRNA from 1 species